rnacentral:rRNA from 1 species
AUUGAACGCUGGCGGCAUGCCUUACACAUGCAAGUCGAACGGUAACGGGUCCUUCGGGAUGCCGACGAGUGGCGAACGGGUGAGUAAUAUAUCGGAACGUGCCCAGUAGUGGGGGAUAACUGCUCGAAAGAGCAGCUAAUACCGCAUACGACCUGAGGGUGAAAGGGGGGGAUCGCAAGACCUCUCGCUAUUGGAGCGGCCGAUAUCAGAUUAGCUAGUUGGUGGGGUAAAGGCCUACCAAGGCAACGAUCUGUAGUUGGUCUGAGAGGACGACCAGCCACACUGGGACUGAGACACGGCCCAGACUCCUACGGGAGGCAGCAGUGGGGAAUUCUGGACAAUGGGCGCAAGCCUGAUCCAGCAAUGCCGCGUGCAGGAAGAAGGCCUUCGGGUUGUAAACUGCUUUUGUCAGGGAAGAAAUCUUCUGGGCUAAUACCCCGGGAGGAUGACGGUACCUGAAGAAUAAGCACCGGCUAACUACGUGCCAGCAGCCGCGGUAAUACGUAGGGUGCGAGCGUUAAUCGGAAUUACUGGGCGUAAAGCGUGCGCAGGCGGCUUUGCAAGACAGAUGUGAAAUCCCCGGGCUCAACCUGGGAGCUGCAUUUGUGACUGCAAGGCUAGAGUACGGCAGAGGGGGAUGGAAUUCCGCGUGUAGCAGUGAAAUGCGUAGAUAUGCGGAGGAACACCAAUGGCGAAGGCAAUCCCCUGGGCCUGUACUGACGCUCAUGCACGAAAGCGUGGGGAGCAAACAGGAUUAGAUACCCUGGUAGUCCACGCCCUAAACGAUGUCAACUGGUUGUUGGACGGCUUGCUGUUCAGUAACGAAGCUAACGCGUGAAGUUGACCGCCUGGGGAGUACGGCCGCAAGGUUAAAACUCAAAGGAAUUGACGGGGACCCGCACAAGCGGUGGAUGAUGUGGUUUAAUUCGAUGCAACGCGAAAAACCUUACCUACCCUUGACAUGUCAAGAAUUCUGCAGAGAUGUGGAAGUGCUCGAAAGAGAACUUGAACACAGGUGCUGCAUGGCCGUCGUCAGCUCGUGUCGUGAGAUGUUGGGUUAAGUCCCGCAACGAGCGCAACCCUUGUCAUUAGUUGCUACGCAAGAGCACUCUAAUGAGACUGCCGGUGACAAACCGGAGGAAGGUGGGGAUGACGUCAGGUCCUCAUGGCCCUUAUGGGUAGGGCUACACACGUCAUACAAUGGCCGGUACAGAGGGCUGCCAACCCGCGAGGGGGAGCCAAUCCCAGAAAACCGGUCGUAGUCCGGAUCGUAGUCUGCAACUCGACUGCGUGAAGUCGGAAUCGCUAGUAAUCGCGGAUCAGCUUGCCGCGGUGAAUACGUUCCCGGGUCU